rnacentral:rRNA from 1 species
UCAGUCGACUCCUACGGGGAGGCAGCAGUGGGGGAAUAUUGCACAAUGGGCGCAAGCCUGAUGCAGCCAUGCCGCGUGUAUGAAGAAGGCCUUCGGGUUGUAAAGUACUUUCAGCAGUGAGGAAGGUGGGGUAUGUUAAUAGCAUACUCAUUUGACGUUAGCUGCAGAAGAAGCACCGGCUAACUCCGUGCCAGCAGCCGCGGUAAUACGGAGGGUGCGAGCGUUAAUCGGAAUUACUGGGCGUAAAGCGCAUGCAGGUGGUUUGUUAAGUCAGAUGUGAAAGCCCGGGGCUCAACCUCGGAAUUGCAUUUGAAACUGGCAAACUAGAGUACUGUAGAGGGGGGUAGGAAUUUCAGGUGUAGCGGUGAAAUGCGUAGAGAUCUGAAGGAAUACCGGUGGCGAAGGCGGCCCCCUGGACAGAUACUGACACUCAGAUGCGAAAGCGUGGGGAGCAAACAGGAUUAGAUACCCUGGUAG